rnacentral:rRNA from 1 species
UACGCUGGCGGCACGCCUAACACAUGCAAGUCGAACGCAGUGCAAUACUGAGUGGCAGACGGGUGAGUAACAUGUAGGUAUCUGCCCUUUGGCCUGGAAUAACACGAGGAAACUUGUGCUAAUACCGGAUAAGUCUUUACGGAGAAAGCUUUAUGCACCAUUGGAUGAGCCUGCACUUGAUUAGUUUGUUGGUGGGGUAAUGGCCUACCAAGACUGUGAUCAAUAGCUGAUUUGAGAGGAUGAUCAGCCACAUUGGGACUGAGACACGGCCCAAACUCCUACGGGAGGCAGCAGUGGGGAAUCUUGCACAAUGGAGGAAACUCUGAUGCAGCGAUGCCGCGUGAGUGAAGAAGGCCCUUGGGUUGUAAAGCUCUUUCGUCGGGGAAGAAAAUGACUGUACCCGAAUAAGAAGGUCCGGCUA